rnacentral:rRNA from 1 species
UACGGAGGGAGCUAGCGUUGUUCGGAAUUACUGGGCGUAAAGCGCACGUAGGCGGCGAUUCAAGUCAGAGGUGAAAGCCCGGGGCUCAACCCCGGAACUGCCUUUGAAACUAGAUUGCUAGAAUCCUGGAGAGGUUAGUGGAAUUCCGAGUGUAGAGGUGAAAUUCGUAGAUAUUCGGAAGAACACCAGUGGCGAAGGCGACUAACUGGACAGGUAUUGACGCUGAGGUGCGAAAGCGUGGGUAGCAAACAGG